AAACCUUUCCAGCAAUGGAUGUCUUGGCU
rnacentral:rRNA from 1 species